rnacentral:rRNA from 1 species
GAAAGAGAAUAAGAGCGUACGGGGGAUGCCUGUGGCUCUCAGAGGCGAAGAAGGACGUGACAAGCUGCGACAAGCUACGGGGAUUGGCAAAUACGAAUAGAUCCGUAGAUAUCCGAAUGGGGCAACCCAAUACAUUGAAGAUGUAUUACCAUAUAAUAUGGGGCGAACGUGGGGAACUGAAACAUCUAAGUACCCAUAGGAGUAGAAAAUAAUUAAUGAUUCCGCAAGUAGUGGCGAGCGAACGCGGAGGAGCCUAAACCAUUUAUGUUACGGCAUAACUGGGGUUGUAGGACUGAGCGAUUGAGAACAUACAAGUACUAGAAUAACCUGGAAAGGUUAACCAUAGGAGGUGAUAGUCCUGUAUAGGAAAUUUGUAUUUAUCAUAUCAGUAUCCUGAGUAGGGCGGGACUGGCGAAAUCCUGUUUGAAUCUGGCAGCACCAUCUGCCAAGGCUAAAUACUACUGAGAGACCGAUAGUGAACAAGUACUGUGAAGGAAAGGUGAAAAGAACCGUGAAUAACGGAGUGAAAUAGACCCUGAAACUGUGCGCUUACAAGCGGUCGGAGCGGAUUAAUAUCCGUGACGGCGUGCCUUUUGCAUAAUGAGCCUACGAGUUACAUCUUACUAGCGAGGUUAAUAUUUUCAGGAUAGCAGCCGUAGCGAAAGCGAGUCUUAAUAGGGCGUAUUAGUUAGUGGGAGUAGACGCGAAACUUUGUGAUCUACCCUUUAGCAGGUUGAAGUUCUGGUAACACAGAAUGGAGGACCGAACCCGUUGUUGUUGAAAAAACUUGGGAUGACUUGAGGGUAGGGGUGAAAGGCUAAUCAAACUGAGAGAUAGCUCGUACUCCCCGAAAAGCUUUUAGGAGCUACCUGGGAUGUUUCUUUAUAGAGGUAGAGAUACUGAUAGGAUGCGGGGGCUUCACCGCCUACCAAUUCCUGACAAACUCCGAAUGCUAUAAAGUAUAAGUCCUGGAGAAAGGCUAUGGGUGCUAAUGUCCAUAGCCGAGAGGGAAAGAACCCGGACCAUCAGCUAAGGUCCCCAAAUGUAUGCUAAGUUGAAAUAACGCGGUAUGAUUGCAUAGACAGCUAGGAUGUUGGCUUGGAAGCAGCCAUUCAUUUAAAGAGUGCGUAACAGCUCACUAGUCGAGCGAUCGUGCAUGGAUAAUAAACGGGCAUAAGCAUACUACCGAAGCUAUGGGAUAUAUUUUAAUAUAUCGGUAGGGGAGCAUUCUAUAUUACGUAGAAGAUAAAGGCGUGAGCCAUGUUGGAGUAUAUAGAAAAGCAAAUGUAGGCAUAAGUAACGAUAAUGCGGGUGAGAAACCCGCACACCGGAAGACUAAGGUUUCCUGAUCAACGAUAAUCGGAUCAGGGUAAGUCGGGACCUAACGCGAAGCCGAAGGGCGAAAGUGGAUGGACAAUCGGUUAAAAUUCCGAUACUGACUGAUAUUGUGAUGGACUGACGGAGAAGUGGAACUACCGCGUGCUGACGGAAUAGCACGUUAAAGGGUGUAGAUAAAUUUGUUAUAGGCAAAUCCGUAAUGAAUGUCGAACCUGAUAGUACCGAGAGGCUUCGGCUAAUUGGAUAGUGUAGGUAAUCAAGCUCCCAAGAAAACGUUCUAAACAUAGAUAUCAGUUACCCGUACCGUAAACCGACACAGGUAGUCGAGGAGAGAAUCCAAAGGUGCUCGAGUGAUCCGUGGCUAAGGAACUAGGCAAAUUAGUCCUGUAACUUCGGGAUAAAGGACCCCUACAGCGAUGUAGGGCGCAGAGAAACGGCCCUGGCGACUGUUUAGCAAAAACACAUGGCUUUGCGAAAUCGGAAGAUGAAGUAUAAGGCCUGACACCUGCCCGGUGCUGGAAGGUUAAGAGGAGAUGUCAUCCGCAAGGAGAAGCAUUGAAUUGAAGCCCCAGUAAACGGCGGCCGUAACUAUAACGGUCCUAAGGUAGCGAAAUUCCUUGUCGGGUAAGUUCCGACCUGCACGAAUGGUGUAACGAUCUGGGCACUGUCUCAGCCACGAGCUCGGUGAAAUUGUAGUAGCGGUGAAGAUGCCGCUUACCCGCAACGGGACGGAAAGACCCCGUGAACCUUCACUAUAACUUAACAUUGAUUUUGGAUACAUGAUGUGUAGGAUAGGUGGGAGACUGUGAAGCAGGUACGCUAGUAUUUGUGGAGUCAUUGUUGAAAUACCACCCUUUAUUUAUUUGGAAUCUAACUUGCGUAAUGCGAGGACAUUGUUUGGUGGGUAGUUUGACUGGGGUGGUCGCCUCCAAAAGCGUAACGGAGGCUUUCAAAGGUACCCUCAGUACGGUUGGUAACCGUGCGUAGAGUGCAAUAGCAUAAGGGUGCUUGACUGUGAGGCCUACAAGCCGAUCAGGUAGGAAACUAGGAUAUAGUGAUCCGGUGGUUCCGUAUGGAAGGGCCAUCGCUCAAAGGAUAAAAGGUAC